rfam:Neolecta irregularis DAH-3 scaffold_2311, whole genome shotgun sequence.
GACUAAGUGGUGUAGCGGUAACAUUGUAGCCUUCCACUUGAGACUGUCUCAGUAAGCUGUAGCUCCGGGUUCGACUCCCGGCUUAGUCA